rfam:Chaetura pelagica isolate M959 contig537, whole genome shotgun sequence.
CCCAAGGCUCUAGAGCCACAGCCAAAAAAAAAAAAAAAUAUAU